UUGAAUGUUUUACUCCAGAUA
rnacentral:piRNA from 1 species